AGUGAACGGCUGGCGGCAGGCCUAACACAUGCAAGUCGAGCGGCAGCGCGGGGGCAACCCUGGCGGCGAGCGGCGGACGGGUGAGGAAUGCAUCGGAAUCUACCUCGUUGUGGGGGAUAACCUCGGGAAACCGGGACUAAUACCGCAUACGACCUACGGGUGAAAGUGGGGGACCUUCGGGCCUCACGCGAUGAGAUGAGCCGAUGCCGGAUUAGCUAGUUGGCGGGGUAAAGGCCCACCAAGGCGACGAUCCGUAGCUGGUCUGAGAGGAUGAUCAGCCACACUGGAACUGAGACACGGUCCAGACUCCUACGGGAGGCAGCAGUGGGGAAUAUUGGACAAUGGGGGAGACCCUGACCCAGCGACGCCGCGUGAGGGAAGACGGCCUUCGGGUUGUAAACCUCUUUUGUACGGGAAGAUAAUGACGGUACUGUACGAAUAAGUCCCGGCUAACUACGUG
rnacentral:rRNA from 1 species